GACAGAGGUGCCGAGCGUUAGGCGGAAUCACUGGGCUUAAAGCGUGUGUAGGCGGAGUUCUAAGUACCUUGUGAAAUCCCACGGCUUAACCGUGGAACUGCUUGGUAUACUGGUUCUCUUGGGCCAUCUAGGGGCUACUGGAACAAACGGUGGAGCGGUGAAAUGCGUAGAUAUCGGAAGGAACGCCGGUGGCGAAAGCGACGUGCUGGAUCUCUUCUGACGCUGAGGCACGAAAGCCAGGGUAGCGAACGGG
rnacentral:rRNA from 1 species